CCACCUAAGACCCCGUGGGGCUUUGGGCGACACCCAAGUACAACAGUAACAAUGUGCGAUGGAGUCGGCUGUGGAGACGGCAAAGGCUGUUGGCUCUGACAUCAGGGGAACCCCCACCCCCAUGGUAGGAGGUGAGCAAGGAGCAGCUACCGAGAGCAGCAAAGCCAAAUGCUCUCAACCUGUGUGUGAAGAGGCGAGACCGGCAAGGGGAGAACUGGGAACAGCCUGCCCUCGUGACUUUCCUGAGGGAAACUUCUGGGCAAAGAGCUAUGGGACAGUCACUGCGAAAGCUGAAGAAGCUACUCAGAGAUGGCAGAAGCCAGAUCACAGGCCCUUCCUGCAGUCGCGGGCUCCCCAGGCGAGGAGAGGCUUAUUACAGGGGCUGGACUGUAUGCGGCUGACUCUGAAAAGGGAUUGGCCGUCAUCUUUUGCAGCUGUAGGGCAUGCUGUCUUACGAUUGGCUGGAAACAUUGUUCCGCCGCCUUCUCUGUGCCCUGUGACACCACUUAUCGGUCUGGCCAUCAGCAGACUCUCAAGCCUCAGGUAAUUAAAGCUGCUUCUUGGCAGUCUCAGAAGCAUUAUAGCUCUGGGGCGCAGCCCGUGACAAAUUUCACUAAGGAGGAGGAAAAUUCAAACAGUAACUUGGAACUGGAGGCCCUGGUGCAGUAUCGGAGGUGAAUUUUCCCUUGGUGACUCAUUCAUUAUUUCCUGCACAUCCAUGGAAGCUCUCUCCUGGGAGAAGAGGCAGAGACGCAGGAAGAGAAGAACACAGUCUCACCGGUACUAGAAACGUGCGCUUCCCUUCCCGUUAUGGUUGGCCGUGAGCUAGAACACCGGCACGACUCUAGCCUGUACCGGAAGCAGUCUUUCUCUCCGGCGUCCAAAGCUGGAAACAAUACACUAUUUACUAUAAACUUCCCCGUGUGUGCACUUCUGACUCUGCUUUAACGUCUUUAUUUUUUGUAAAGCCUUUCUUCAUGUCUAGAUCACAGAAACAGGAGGGCCACACCCAACAGCCAAGGGAGGCAGGAAACAUCCACAAGACAGGCACAAAAACAUGCAGACGGACAGUGUGUGUGCAUUGCUCCAACUCUCCUGCACACAGAAGUCUGUUUCACACACAUCUGGCAGUGGGUGGGGAUGCUCUGUUCUCCUUGCCUGGCAAGAUGGCGUUUUAGGCACAGCAGGAGCUGAGCCCCACGGGACAGCAGAGGGCCAGUUACAGGAGUCACGAGCACUGCAAGCUGGAGGAGGGCUGUGAAAAGGGACUGGAGCAGGCUCGGCAAGGAUUGGCCGGCGGUUUGCUGCAACAGAACCCAUCCUACGACCAGAGCAGCUGUGCUGUAAUAAUCUCUUGGAAAGCAAGAGCGAAACUUCAUUCUGCUGCCGGUACAGUUACGCGCACAUCACAUGCUACAGGAAGCAACAGAAUCAAGCAAUAAAAUAAAGCUUUCUUAGAAGAACUCAAAAAUAACUUCCUGACUG